CCUACGGGUGGCAGCAGUGGGGGAUAUUGCACAAUGGGGGGAACCCUGAUGCAGCGACGCCGCGUGGGUGAAGGAGUAUUUCGGUAUGUAAAGCCCUAUCGGCAGGGAAGAAUUUAGACGGUACCUGACUAAGAAGCCCCGGCUAACUACGUGCCAGCAGCCGCGGUAAUACGUAGGGGGCAAGCGUUAUCCGGAUUCACUGGGUGUAAAGGGAGCGUAGACGGCCGUGCAAGCCUGGAGUGAAAGCCCAGGGCUCAACCCCGGGACUGCUCUGGGAACUGUGCGGCUGGAGUGCUGGAGGGGUAGGCGGAAUUCCUGGUGUAGCGGUGAAAUGCGUAGAUAUCAGGAGGAACACCGGCGGCGAAGGCGGCUUGCUGGACAGCGACUGACGUUGAGGCUCGAAAGCGUGGGGAGCGAACAGGAUUAGAUACCCUUGUAGUC
rnacentral:rRNA from 1 species